rnacentral:rRNA from 1 species
UACGUAGGGUGCAAGCGUUAAUCGGAAUCACUGGGCGUAAAGCGUGCGCAGGCGGUGAUGUAAGACAGGUGUGAAAUCCCCGGGCUUAACCUGGGAACUGCAUUUGUGACUGCAUCGCUGGAGUGCGGCAGAGGGGGAUGGAAUUCCGCGUGUAGCAGUGAAAUGCGUAGAUAUGCGGAGGAACACCGAUGGCGAAGGCAAUCCCCUGGGCCUGCACUGACGCUCAUGCACGAAAGCGUGGGGAGCAAACAGG